GCACCCGCGGUAAUUCCAGCACCAAUAGCGUAUAUUAAUGCUGCUGCUGUUAAAAAGCUCGUAGUUGGAUCAAGAGCUGGACUGUGCACAGUGGCCCCGUUAGUCCUGGUGGGUCCUGCUCAUCCGGACGGCGGCGGAACUACCCUGCGCAUUACGCAGUCCACUCUAGCAGGCCGAAACGGUUCCCUGUGAGUAGGCCCCUUCAUUGGAGUCGAAAGCGCCAACGCAUCAACCAUAUGCAUACGGGACGUCGGCCAAUGUUACUGUGAACAAACCAGCGUGUCCAAAGCAGGCCUUCGCCUGAAUGUUCGAGCAUGGAAUAACAAGGGAUCGAUUCUCUCGGUUCUUUUUGUUGGUUUUUAACCCGAGAAGGAGUAAUUCAGUCCACGGUGUCUGAGUUGGGUUCCCCUAGGUCUAGGCUUAGGCCCCAAUUAGGCCGUGUGCUUACGGGAUCGAUAGGGACUGACGGGGUCGUACGUACUUCCGCGUCAGAGGUGAAAUUCUUAGAUCGCGGGAAGACGAACUUCUGCGAAAGCAUUCGACAAGAAUGUCUUCAUUAAUCAAGAACGAGAGUGUGGGGAUCGAAGAUGAUCAGAUACCGUCGUAGUCCACUACUGUAAACAAUGCCGUCUCAGGAUUGAGAAGUGAACUGAAUGACUUUCACAGCACUAACCCCUGAAACGAGAAAUCAAAGAUUAUGGGUUCAGGGGGGAGUACAUUCGCAAGGCUGAAACUUAAAGGAAUUGACGGAAUGACACCACAAGGCGUGGAGUAUGCGGCUUAAUUUGACUCAACACGGGGAAUUUUACUAGGUCAGGACAAUGUAAGGAUUGACAGAUUGAGAGCUCUUCCUCGAUCCAUUGUGUGGUGGUGCAUGGCCGCUCCUGGUUGGUGGAGUGAUUUGUCUGGUUGAUUCCGUUAACGAACGAGAUCUCGACCCUUAAAUAGGUGCCCGUGUCGAACGUAGUCUCACUCCGCUGGGCCUGCCCUUCUUGGAUGGGACGAGACUGCGGGGAUACUUCUUAAGGGGACUGUAUGCGUUUAUAGCAUGCGGAAGAGCGAGCCAAUAGCAGGUCUGUGAUGCUCCCAAAUGUCCUAGGCUGCACGCGCACUACACUGAUGCAAUAAACGAGUCUGAGUGCCUCCGGGCAACCUACCUGGAAGCGGGUGGGAAAUCUUUUGAACUUGCAUCGUGAUGAG
rnacentral:rRNA from 1 species